rnacentral:rRNA from 1 species
AGCUUAGAUGAUUUCUUCGGAAUGAACUUAAGUGGAUUAGUGGCGAACGGGUGAGUAACACGUGAGUAACCUGCCUUACACAAGGGGAUAGCCUCUGGAAACGGAGAAUAAUACCCUAUAAAGUCUAAUCAGCCCAUGCUGGAAAGACCAAAGAUUUAUCGGUGUAAGAUGGACUUGCGUCUGAUUAGCUAGUUGGUGAGAUAAAAGCUCACCAAGGCGACGAUCAGUAGCCGGCUUGAGAGAGUGUAGGGGCCACAUUGGGACUGAGACACGGCCCAAACUCCUACGGGAGGCAGCAGUGGGGAAUUUUGCACAAUGGGGGAAACCCUGAUGCAGCGACGCCGCGUGAUUUAGAAGGCCUUCGGGUUGUAAAAAUCUUUUUUACGGGAUGAAAAUGACAGUACCGUAAGAAUAAGGUCCGGCUAAAUACGUGCCAGCAGCCGCGGUAAUACGUAUGGACCGAGCGUUGUCCGGAAUCAUUGGGCGUAAAGGGUACGUAGGGCGGCUAGUAAGUUAGAAGUUAAAGAAUAUAGCUCAAUACUAUAUCCAAGCUUUUGAAAACUGCUAGGCUUGAGAGAUGGAAGGGUAAGUGGAAUUCCUAGUGUAGCGGUGAAUGCGCAGAUAUUAGGAAGAAAUACCGGUGGCUGAAGCGCGGACAUUUCGUGGGUCAGUCAGUCGGUAUCGCUGUAGGGUACGAAAGUCGGUGGGUAGCAAACAGGAUUAGUAGUACCCUGGUAGUCCACGCGUGUAUAACCGAUG